AUCCUACGGGACGCAGCAGUGAGGAAUAUUGGUCAAUGGCCGAGAGGCUGAACCAGCCAAGUCGCGUGAGGGAAGACGGCCCUACGGGUUGUAAACCUCUUUUGUCGGGGAGCAAAGAGAGUCACGUGUGACUCAUUGAGAGUACCCGAAGAAAAAACAUCGGCUAACUCCGUGCCAGCAGCCGCGGUAAUACGGAGGAUGCGAGCGUUAUCCGGAUUUAUUGGGUGUAAAGGGUGCGUAGGCGGCCCUGCAAGUCAGAAGUGAAAUCCAUGGGCUUAACCCGUGAACUGCUUUUGAAACUGCAG
rnacentral:rRNA from 1 species